rnacentral:rRNA from 1 species
AGAGUUUGAUCCUGGCUCAGGAUGAACGCUAGCUACAGGCUUAACACAUGCAAGUCGAGGGGCAGCAUGGUCUUAGCUUGCUAAGGCCGAUGGCGACCGGCGCACGGGUGAGUAACACGUAUCCAACCUGCCGUCUACUCUUGGACAGCCUUCUGAAAGGAAGAUUAAUACAAGAUGGCAUCAUGAGUCCGCAUGUUCACAUGAUUAAAGGUAUUCCGGUAGACGAUGGGGAUGCGUUCCAUUAGAUAGUAGGCGGGGUAACGGCCCACCUAGUCUUCGAUGGAUAGGGGUUCUGAGAGGAAGGUCCCCCACAUUGGAACUGAGACACGGUCCAAACUCCUACGGGAGGCAGCAGUGAGGAAUAUUGGUCAAUGGGCGAGAGCCUGAACCAGCCAAGUAGCGUGAAGGAUGACUGCCCUAUGGGUUGUAAACUUCUUUUAUAAAGGAAUAAAGUCGGGUAUGGAUACCCGUUUGCAUGUACUUUAUGAAUAAGGAUCGGCUAACUCCGUGCCAGCAGCCGCGGUAAUACGGAGGAUCCGAGCGUUAUCCGGAUUUAUUGGGUUUAAAGGGAGCGUAGAUGGAUGUUUAAGUCAGUUGUGAAAGUUUGCGGCUCAACCGUAAAAUUGCAGUUGAUACUGGAUAUCUUGAGUGCAGUUGAGGCAGGCGGAAUUCGUGGUGUAGCGGUGAAAUGCUUAGAUAUCACGAAGAACUCCGAUUGCGAAGGCAGCUCACUGGACUGCAACUGACACUGAUGCUCGAAAGUGUGGGUAUCAAACAGGAUUAGAUACCCUGGUAGUCCACACAGUAAACGAUGAAUACUCGCUGUUUGCGAUAUACAGUAAGCGGCCAAGCGAAAGCAUUAAGUAUUCCACCUGGGGAGUACGCCGGCAACGGUGAAACUCAAAGGAAUUGACGGGGGCCCGCACAAGCGGAGGAACAUGUGGUUUAAUUCGAUGAUACGCGAGGAACCUUACCCGGGCUUAAAUUGCAGAUGAAUUACGGUGAAAGCCGUAAGCCGCAAGGCAUCUGUGAAGGUGCUGCAUGGUUGUCGUCAGCUCGUGCCGUGAGGUGUCGGCUUAAGUGCCAUAACGAGCGCAACCCUUGUUGUCAGUUACUAACAGGUUCCGCUGAGGACUCUGACAAGACUGCCAUCGUAAGAUGUGAGGAAGGUGGGGAUGACGUCAAAUCAGCACGGCCCUUACGUCCGGGGCUACACACGUGUUACAAUGGGGGGUACAGAAGGCAGCUAGCGGGUGACCGUAUGCUAAUCCCAAAAUCCUCUCUCAGUUCGGAUCGAAGUCUGCAACCCGACUUCGUGAAGCUGGAUUCGCUAGUAAUCGCGCAUCAGCCACGGCGCGGUGAAUACGUUCCCGGGCCUUGUACACACCGCCCGUCAAGCCAUGGGAGCCGGGGGUACCUGAAGUACGUAACCGCAAGGAUCGUCCUAGGGUAAAACUGGUGACUGGGGCUAAGUCGUAACAAGGUAGCCGUACCGGAAGGUGCGGCUG